AGAUAUAAAAUUUUCUCUACUCUUUGAGAUCUUCAUUUCUAAAAAUUUUGAGAAUUUUUAAAAAUAGUUGAAUUUUCCGGCGAGACGGGACGGUUAACCGCCACCUACAGCGACGCGUGGCUAAGACGACAAUAUUGCUCUUUUUAAGCUAAUUACAAUGUUCUAAGUCCAUAUUUAUAAUAUAUUUGAUGUGGAUCAAUUGUUUGGGCUUAAUUUAUGAAGUGUUAGUCACUUUAAAAUGUGAAGAUUAUGAAAUAGAAUUUGGAAUGUAAACUACAAAUGGCUUGAUCCUUAUUUAGGGUACGUA
rnacentral:lncRNA from 1 species